UCCGCCCGGGUACUACGAGCACAGCUUAAAACCCAAAGGACUUGGCGGUGUCUCAGACCCACCUAGAGGAGCCUGUUCUAGAACCGAUAACCCCCGUUAAACCUCACCACUUCUUGUUUUCCCCGCCUAUAUACCGCCGUCGUCAGCUUACCCUGUGAAGGCUUAAUAGUAAGCAAAAUGGGCCAACCCAAAAACGUCAGGUCGAGGUGUAGCGCACGAGGUGGGAAGAAAUGGGCUACAUUUUCUAUAAAAUAGGAUAUUACGAAUGGCAUUCUGAAAAUUAGUGCCUGAAGGUGGAUUUAGUAGUAAAAA
rnacentral:rRNA from 1 species